GUGAGGAAUAUUGGUCAAUGGGCGAGAGCCUGAACCAGCCAAGUCGCGUGAAGGAAGAAGGAUCUAUGGUUCGUAAACUUCUUUUGCAGGGGAAUAAAGUGCAGGACGUGUCCUGUUUUGUAUGUACCCUGAGAAUAAGGAUCGGCUAACUCCGUGCCAGCAGCCGCGGUAAUACUGAGGAUCCGAGCGUUAUCCGGAUUUAUUGGGUUUAAAGGGUGCGUAGGUGGUUUGAUAAGUCAGCGGUGAAAGUUUGCAGCUUAACUGUAAAAAUGCCGUUGAAACUGUCGGACUUGAGUGUAAAUGAGGUAGGCGGAAUGCGUGGUGUAGCGGUGAAAUGCAUAGAUAUCACGCAGAACUCCGAUUGCGAAGGCAGCUUACUAAGCUACAACUGACACUGAAGCACGAAAGCGUGGGGAUCAAACAGGAUUAGAUACCCUAGUAGUCC
rnacentral:rRNA from 1 species